rnacentral:rRNA from 1 species
UUGGAGGGCAAGUCUGGUGCCAGCAGCCGCGGUAAUUCCAGCUCCAAUAGCGUAUAUUAAAGUUGUUGCAGUUAAAAAGCUCGUAGUUGAAUUUCGGGAUCAAUAUUUCGGUCAUGCCGUUGGUAUGCACUGUUAUCAUUGAUUUCUCACCUUCUAAAGAACCGUAAUGCCAUUAAUUUGGUGUUACGGGGAAUUAGGACUGUUACCUUGAAAAAAUUAGAGUGUUUAAAGCAGGCUCACGCUUGAAUACAUUAGCAUGGAAUAAUGAAAUAGGACAUCCGAUUCUAUUUUGUUGGUUUCUAGGAUCGAUGUAAUGAUUAAUAGGGAUAGUUGGGGGCAUUAGUAUUCAAUUGUCAGGGGUGAAAUUCUUGGAUUUAUUGAAGACUAACUACUGCGAAAGCAUUUGUCAAGGAUGUUUUCAUUAAUCAAGAACGAAAGUUAGGGGAUCGAAGACGAUCAGAUACCGUCGUAGUCUUAACCAUAAACUAUGCCGACUAGGGAUCGGAUGAUGUUAAUUUUUUAAUGACUCAUUCGGCGCCUUACGGGAAAC